GAUCAUGGCUCAGGAUGAACGCUGGCGGCGUGCUUAACACAUUCAAGUCGAACGGAGAACGGGGAGCUUGCUCCCCGGGAUCAGUGGCGGACGGGUGAGUAACGCGUGAGCAACCUGCCUGUGUGUGGGGGAUAACACCCGGAAACGGGUGCUAAUACCGCAUAACGCAACGGAGCCGCAUGACUUGUUGUCAACGAUAUAUUGUCGCACAGAUGGGCGUCGCGUCUGAUUAGUAUAG
rnacentral:rRNA from 1 species